rnacentral:rRNA from 1 species
GUAGCAUAAUCACUUGUUUUUUAAUUAAAAACUGGCAUGAAGGGCUUAACAAAUAAAAACAAUUUUAAACCAGUUUAAUAAAAUUUAUAUUUUAUGUAAAAAUACAUAAAUACCUAAAAGGGACGAUAAGACCCUAAAAGCUUUAUUGUUAAAUAUCUUUUAUUAUUAUUAAUAUCUCAAAGACUAAUAAACAUUUUGACUGGGGUAGUAGUUUUUAUUACAAAUAUUUUUAUUAACAGCUAGGAAUAAAGAUCCUCUAUAUAAGGACAAUUAGUAAAAGUUACUUUAGGGAUAACAGCAUAAUAGUAAUGGGGAGUUCUCAUUUAUAUUAUUGAUUUUGACCUCGAUGUUGAAUUAAACAUAUCUAUAAAGCAGAAAUUAUAUUUGAAAGUUUGUUCAACUUUUAAAAUUUU